rnacentral:tRNA from 1 species
GGAUUAUGUGCGGCACAAUGGUAGAGCAUUUGCUUGGCAUGUAGAAGGUCCUAGGGUCAAUGCCUACCAUGUCCA